GUCGUCUCCAGUCUCUCCGCCAGUCAAAGAAACCCAGGCCGUCGGACGCCAUCCCUAGCCACCGCGCCGCUAUGUCCGCCGCCACCGCCACGCUCCGGCCAACCGAGCCGUUCCCUCUCCCGAGCGGUCUAUCCCUUGCGCGGCGCCUGAAGCUGCUCCUCUCCUUCUCCCGCGCCGACCUCUCCGUGAGCCCCGUCGACGAGUGGCAGCUCAAGUCCGCGCUCCUCGCCUUCCUCCGCAACCCGCCGCUCUCGCUCUCCCUCCUCCAAGACUCCGACCUGUCCGUCAGCCGCCUCCCGGACCUGCAGAAGCGCCGUCGGGACGAUCCCGUCGCCUCCGGCAUCCUGUACGUCCGCGAUCUCUCCUUCCUCCGCCCAGGCAACCGCACAGGAGACAACGAAGCCGAGAAGAUGACCCCAGAGCAGGAGGAGAAGAAGUACUCACAGUGGCGGAGCUCCCUGGUCGAGAAGCUAGAUGGCAUCGACCUCAACCUUAAGGGGGUUAUGUACCGGAUGAGUGUCGAGAUCCCCGCCUCAGAUGACUUCACGGCGAUGAAGAAGUCAUGGGAGGAUUUUUACGCCUCCGAGCUCUUUAGUACUAGGAAUCCGGUGAGGAAGAUAGCAAAAAGACCAGACACAAUUCUUGUGAGAGGUGUGCCGUCCAGGUGGUUUGCGGAGACGAGGAUAUCGUCGAAGGCGUCCACAUUGGUCACCCACACUAUCUUCUCAGCUCUUGGUAAAAUAAGGACCUUAAAUAUUUCUAAUGACGAUGAAUUAGAAGAAAAAAAAGAUGAGACUAAUAAGGGUCUCAUAUCUGGACUCAAUUGUAAGGUGUGGGUGCAAUUUGAGAGUUAUGAUGACUUCCACAAUGCAAUGAAGGCAUUAUGUGGGCGGUCAUUAGAGAAGGAUUGAUGGCGCAAAGGAUAUGAUGAGUUGUGAAAUUACAUGUCAUAAGGAGGAGAAUUGGUUGUAUUCUGUGGUCUGUAUCAUUGUGAUGUUCACUAUUCGUUUUUUGUCUCCUUUUACUUCUCGUCAUUAGUCUAACAGUAAAAUCAUUCCGUCCGAGUCGCUGAUUUGUACUCCCUCCGUCCCACAGUAUAAGCUAUUACAGCUAUUGUGGUGGCACCUAGUUGAUACCGAAAGUUCGAGCUUAACAAAAGUUAGUGUUUGCUUCAGUAAGAGUUUCGCCUUUAGCACCUCUACAUCUGCUCAUUUGAUCAAUCACAAAACCCACUGCAGUUACGCUCC
rnacentral:rRNA from 1 species